UAACCCUCGGUCCAUUUCGGAUUUUUAAAAAAAUACAUUUUAUUCUUUGUAUUUACGUUUUAUUUCAAGGAGAGAUAAUGUAGGCUUCUGGUAGAAUGUCUUAUGCCUGGAAAUAUAUAAAUGCCAUGCGAAAUGUAAUGUAAACAAACAAUAGGAUGAGUGUAUUUCUAAAAAAUAUAAAGCCAAAAAUAUAUUUUUACACAAAUCCACAUCCUUUACACAAUUCGUUUUAUUAUUUUCGACAGUGUUUCUCAGAAAUCGCGUACUGCACCUUUAAGGAAAUUGCAUAUUGUCGGCGCAGUGGCGUUGCUGUGGUUACAGUGGAACGUGUUCGAAGAACAUGUUCGAGGAGAAACUAGUUUUGACGUCGGCAGUAAAUGUCUGACCAUCGUCGACAACGGAGAUUGUGAUUAGUUUUUGACCGUUUCUUCGGCUGUGGCAACCCCUGAUAAACCAGGAAAUGGAGUGGACCGCAUGGAGAAAAACGGGAAUCACACACCUCAGCAAUGACUGGAAACUGCAUGGAUGGAUGGAUGGAUGGAUGGAUGAAUGGAUGUCUUGUCUGUGGCAGGGGUUUCUUUUUCAGGCAAUGGACAUACAACAGGGAGGAGAGUGAGAUUCACAAGAGGAUAGAUGAAAAUAUGCUUGAGAAGCUGGAGCUCAGAAAGCAGAUUGGCAUGCAGAAACAGAGAAACACACUUCAGCAAUGACAAAUUGGAGUGGAGAAAUAAGGGAUUCACAACCCUCAGCUAUGACAGGAACCUGAUUGUCUGGUAUUAACGAUAUAUGAUAGAUGUCCUUCCAAGAGGAAGGGGGUGGUGGUGGGCAUAGAUAGUUAUUUAAAUGUCCUGUCGGUGGAAGGUGUUUUUUUCAGCCAAUGGAACAAAAGAGGAAGAAGAGGAAAACUCUUAAUGAGAACAGUGGAGAUAUGCUUGAAGAGCUGGAGCUCAGUGAGCAGAUUGGAGUAAACUGUAUGGAGAAAUACAGGAAUCACACUUCAGCAAUGAGUGAAAACUGCAUGGAUGUAUGGAUGGAAGGAUGUCUUGUCUGUGGUAGGGGUUUCUUUUUCAGGUGAUGGACAUACAACAGCAAGGAGAUGGAGAUUCACAACAGGAUUGGUGGAGAUAUGCUUAAAGAGCUGGAGCUCAGUAUGCAGAUUGGCAUGCAGAAACAGAGAAACACUCCACAGCAAUGACAAGUACAUCAUUAUAAAUUAGUCACUACGUUAAAUUUGUAAGUUAAAUGAAAUUAGAUAGAAGGAUGUUCUUCCAAGAGGGAGUUGGUGAUGUAAAUAGAUUGCUAGAUAGGUCUCUUUUCUGUGUCAGUUAUUUUAUUUGCAGGUAAUGGACACACAACAGACAGAAGAAGGAGAAUCAUGAGUUUCUCUGUGGAGACAUGCUUGAAGAACUGGAGCUCAGAAAGGAGUUUAAACUUCUUGAACAAAUUUAAGAAUGGGGUUAACUUCCAAAGUAAUUAGGAUUAAUUAAACACUUGAUAUCUUUCUCUUUAGCAGAUUGACAUGCAGAAACAGAGAAACACAUCAGCAAUGACAAGUACAUCAUUAUAAAUGAGAUUGGAGUGGAGAAAUAAGGGAUUCACAAACCUCAGCUAUGACCCGAACCUGAUUGUCUGGUAUUAACGAUAUAUGAUAGAUGUCCUUCCAAGAGGAAGGGGGUGGUGGUGGGCAUAGAUAGUUAUUUAAAUGUCCUGUCGGUGGAAGGUGUUUUUUUCAGCAAAUGUAACAAAAGAGGAAGAAGAGGAAAACUCAUAAUGAGAACAGUGGAGAUAUGCUUGAAGAGCUGGAGCUCAGUAAGCAGAUUGGAGUAAACUGUAUGGAGAAAUACAGGAAUCACACUUCAGCAAUGAGUGAAAACUGCAUGGAUGUAUGGAUGGAAGGAUGUCUUGUCUGUGGCAGGGGUUUCUUUUUCAGGUAAUGGACACACAACAGCAAGGAGAUGGAGAUUCACAACAGGAUUGGUGGAGAUAUGCUUGAAGAGCUGGAGCUCAGCAAGCAGAUUGGCAUGCAGAAACAGAGAAACACUCCACAGCAAUGACAAGUACAUCAUUAUAAAUGAGCUACUACCUUCUAUUUGUAAGUUGAAUGAAAUUAGAUAGAAGGAUGUUCUUCCAAGAGGAAGGUAGUGGUGGAAAUAGACUAGAUAGAUCUCUUUUCUGUGUCAGUUAUUUUAUUUGCAGGUAAUGGACACACAACAGACAGAAGAAGGAGAAUCACAAGAGUUUCUCUGUGGAGAUAUGCUUGAAGAGCUGGAGCUCAAUUGUCAUGGAGCAUGUGGAGAAACUGGGAAACACUUCAGCAAUGACAAGUACAUCAUAAUAAAUGAGGUACAUCCUUAAAUGUACUGGAGUGAAGGAACAAGGGAUUCACACACCUCAACAAUGAUAGAAAACAGAUGAUCUAGUAUUAUUGAUGGAUGAUAGAUGUCCUUCCAAGAUGAAGGGGGUGGUGGUAGGUGGAUGGAUGGACGAAUGGCUGGAUGUCUUGUCUGUGGCAGGGGUUUCUCUUUCAGGUAAUGGACAUACAACAGGAAAAAGAGGGAGAUUCACAACAGGAUUGGUGGAGAUAUGCUUGAAGAGCUGGAGCUCAAGAAGCAGAUUGGCAUGCAGAAACAGAGAAACACACUUCAGCAAUGACAAGUACAUCAUUAUAAAUGAGCUACUACCUUAAAUUUCUAUUUGCAGGUAAUGGACACACAACAGACAGAAGAAGGAGAAUCAUGAGUUUCUCUGUGGAGAUAUGCUUGUAGAGCUGGAGCCCAAUUGGCAUGCAGAAACAGAGAAACACACCUCAGCAAUGACAAGUACAUCAAUAUAAAUGAGAUUGGAGUGGAGAAAUAAGGGAUUCACAAACCUCAGCAAAGACAGGAACCUGAUUGUCUGGUAUAUCAGAUAUAUGAUAGAUGUCCUUUCAAGAGGAAUGGGGUGGUGGUGGGCAUAGAUAGUUAUUUAAAUGUCCUGUCGGUGGAAGGUGUUUUUUUUCAGCCAAUGUAACAAAAGAGGAAGAAGAGGAAAACUCAUAAUGAGAACAGUGGAGAUAUGCUUGAAGAGCUGGAGCUCAGUAAGCAGAUUGGCGUGCAGAAACAGAGAAACACUCCACAGCAAUGACAAGUACAUCAUUAUAAAUAAGCUACUACCUUAAAUUUGUAAGUUGAAUGAAAUUAGAUACAAGGAUAUUAUUCCAAGAGUAAGGUAGUGGUGGAAAUAGACUAGAUAGAUCUCUUUUCUGUGUCAGUUAUUUUAUUUGCAGGUAAUGGACACACAACAGACAGAAGAAGGAGAAUCACAAGAGUUUCUCUGUGGAGAUAUGCUUGAAGAGCUGGAGCUCAAUUGGCAUGCAGAAACAGAGAAACACACUUCAGCAAUGACAAGUACAUCAUUAUAAAUGAGCUACUACCUUAAAUUUGUAAGUUGAAUGAAAUUAGAUAGAAGGAUGUUCUUCCAAGAGGAAGGUAGUGGUGGAAAUAGACUAGAUAGAUCUCUUUUCUGUGUCAGUUAUUUUAUUUGCAGGUAAUGGACACACAACAGACAGAAGAAAGAGAAUCAUGAGUUUCUCUGUGGAGAUAUGCUUGAAGAGCUGGAGCUCAAUUGGCAUGCAGAAACAGAGAAACACAUCAGCAAUGACAAGUACAUCAUUAUAAAUGAGCUACUACCUUAAAUCUGUAACGUGAAUGAAAUUAACUUUAAAACAUAAUUUUUACAGAAUUGGAGUGGAGAAAUAAGGGAUUCACAAACCUCAGCAAAGACAGGAACCUGAUUGUCUGGUAUUACCGAUAUAUGAUAGAUGUCCUUCCAAGAGGAAGGGGGUGGUGGUGGGCAUAGAUAGUUAUUUAAGUGUCCUGUCGGUGGAAGGUGUUUCUUUCAGCCAAUGGAAAAAAGAGGAAGAAGAGGAAAACUCAUAAUGAGAACAGUGGAGAUAUGCUUGAAGAGCUGGAGCUCAGUAAGCAGAUUGGAGUGAACUGUAUGGAGAAAUACAGGAAUCACACUUCAGCAACGAUUGAAAACUGCAUGGAUGUAUGGAUGGAAGGAUGGGUUGUCUGUGGCAGGGGUUUCUUUUUCAGGUAAUGGACACACAACAGACAGAAGAAAGAGAAUCAUGAGUUUCUCCGUGGAGAUAUGCUUGUAGAGCUGUAGCCCAAUUGGCAUGCAGAAACAGAGAAACACUCCACAGCAAUGACAAGUACAUCAAUAUAAACGAGAUUGGAGUGGAGAAAUAAGGGAUUCACAACCCUCAGCAAAGACAGGAACCUGAUUGUGUUGUAUUACCAAUAUAUGAUAGAUGUCCUUCCAAGAGGAAGGGGGUGGUGGUGGGCAUAGAUAGUUAUUUAAAUGUCCUGUCGGUGGAAGGUGUUUUUUUUCAGCCAAUGGAAUAAAAGAGGAAGAAGAGGAAAACUCAUAAUGAGAACAGUGGAGAUAUGCUUGAAGAGCUGGAGCUCAGUAAGCAGAUUGGAGUGAACUGUAUGGAGAAAUACAGGAAUCACACUUCAGCAAUGAUUGACAACUGAAUGGAUGUAUGGAUGAAAGGAUGGGUCGAUAGAUGAAUGUAUUGUCUGUGGCAGGGAUUUCUUUUUCAGAUAAUGGACAUACAACAGCAAGGAGAGGGAGAUUCACAACAGGAUUGGUGGAGAUAUGCUUGAAGAGCUGGAAAUCAGUAACCAGAUUGUCAUGGAGCAUGUGGAGAAACUGGGAAACACUUCAGCAAUGACAAGUACAUAAUGAGAUUGAAGUGGAGAAACGAGGGAAUCAUACACGUCAACAAUGACAGGAAACUGAUGGUCUGGUAUUGCCUAUACAUGAUAGAUGUCCUUCCAAAAGGAAGGGGGUGGUGGUGGGCAUAGAUAGUUAGAUAGACUUCUUGUCUGUAAAAGGUAAUGAACACACAACAGGCAUAAAAAGGAGAAUUACAAGAGGAUCAGUGGAGAUAUGCUUGAAGAGCUGGAGCUUAGCAAAUACAUACUGUAGAGCUCUGUUAGUCUUGUCUUUGCCUUUUUGCAGGUUGGAGUGGAGCAUGUGGAGAAACAAGGAAAUCACACACCUCAGCAAUGCCUGGAAACUGAUGGUUAGGUUAGAUAUUUCCUGGAUGGAUGGAUGAAUGUUUAAAUAGACGACCUUCCAAGUGGAAGGGGGUGGUGGUGGGCAUAGAUAGUUAGAUAGGUGUCUGUGGAAGGUUUUUUCUUACAGACAGUGGAACCACAAAAGGCAGAAGACGGAGAAUCACAAGAGUGGAGAUAUGCCUGAAGAGCUGGAGCUCAGUAAGGAGAUUGGCAUGGAGGAUGUGGAGAAACAGGGAAACACAACUCAGCAAUGACAAGUACAUCAUAAUCAUAGGAGAAGGCUAAUCUUUCCCCUGGCCACAGAACACAGGCUUGAGACUAGCAAAGAAAAAAUUUCCUGUGGUAUAUUCUCACUCAAACCACUGCCUGCUUCUUUGCUUAUGGAGAGAAAAGCUGCUCAUAUCUGCUGGUUCUUGAUCAAUAUUUGAUAUCCAGCUUGGCUCUCUAGACCAGAAGCUGUGGAUAUGAAAUAUCAAGGAAAAAUUUAGAUGAAAUUAAAAGCCUAGAAUUUAGAAAUUUAACUUAUCUUGAACAGAAAUUGAUAGAUGAUUUAACUGCAUUAGAAAAGGCAAAGGCUGUUUUUUAAUUAUAUUGGUCUGCGAUAGCAAAUCACACACGGUAUUUAUUUCUAGCUAAAAUGAACAGUGCUUUGUUAGAUGCUCUCUUUAAAAAUUUGCACUAAACUAUUAUUUUUACUUUGCAUCAUCAUCUUGGAAAUAAAGCUUUGUGUCUUUGCACCUGAAUAAGUCAUGAUUUGUGUAUUUAAUUUCGUGUUUGAGCAACAUCUGUUUCAAAAUCUUGCAAAUUCUGUGGUGUUUUAAUUAGUUUCCAUUUGAGAAAAGUUGAGCAUAUGUUGUUAAAUUAAUAAUUAUUUAACAAGUGUUGAUCGGAUUUGUACUUAUUUCAACAAAUGUUAUAUAUUGAAUAAAAGCAUAUCAAUUCUAA